CACGUAGGGCGCAAGCGUUGUCCGGAAUCAUUGGGCGUAAAGAGCUCGUAGGCGGUUUGUCACGUCUGCUGUGAAAACUCGGGGCUUAACCCCGAGCUUGCAGUGGAUACGGGCAGACUAGAGGUAGGUAGGGGAGAAUGGAAUUCCCGGUGUAGCGGUGAAAUGCGCAGAUAUCGGGAGGAACACCGGUGGCGAAGGCGGUUCUCUGGGCCUUACCUGACGCUGAGGAGCGAAAGCGUGGGGAGCGAACAGG
rnacentral:rRNA from 1 species